AUCACUGCUCUCAUACUUGAGCACAUCACCUCCCUGUUAAGACGGACAGGCCUGGGGUCGCUGACGGAGGCCCUACAAGACUCCGUGGUCCCACAGCCCGGCAUGAAAACAUCCAAUGAGCCGCCGUGUGGGUGAAGCCAGGUCUCCAGCCAGUCAACUUCACGGGGGGGCGUCUACACUGUGAUAGCAAGUUUCAGCACGCUUACCUAACCAGCCUUCUGCAGGAAUGGAAGAUCUCCAGCUCUCAUCUCGAGCCUUCCCCAAUCCAGCGUCCAGCUGUCCUAACGAGCCUUGCCGGCUGGCUUCAGCCCAGCGUGGAGUCCAAGGCAGGCCCGCCCCACAGCCCCGAGACCGAGACCUGCGAGGAGGCCAGGGUCUGGCGCCCCUGGUCAGUACUUCAAAGGCUUCCAUUUCCACAAAAACCGGCACAGAUUUGCUCCUCCCCCGGACGCCAUUCACCGCCGCCCGGAUGCCUGGAUCAUCCCCGUUUCCUGGGUCGCUUCAAGUGCCCGCCGGUGGCAGGAGGACAGGGUAUGGUAGGGGCUGUGUUACU